rnacentral:lncRNA from 1 species
AUAUACCCUCCCAGAAGAGCAGGAAAGGGGAUUCAUAAAGACGUUCUUCUGAUGGGGAAUGCUCUGUGAGGCCACCUUCACAUGUGUGGAAGAUGAUCAAAGUAUGACAUUUCUUCUACCCUAGAGGUUGGCAUUUCUGCAGGCACAAAUGAGCUUGGUUUUCAAGCACCAGUCUUUGAACACAAGGAAUUCUUUUAAUGAUCACGCCGGACUAUAUAGACUUUGGAAUCAGACUCUUUGAAUUCCAGCUCUGCCAUUUACCAACUUUGACACUUUGGACAGGGUCUCAUUCUGUCACCCAGGCUGGAGUGCAGUGGCACGAUUAUAGCUCACUGCAACCUCAAACACCUGGGCUCAAGCAAUCCUUCCACCUCUGCCUCCUGAGUAAUUGGGACUACAGGCGUGUGCCACCACGCCCAGCUAAUUUUUAAUUUUUAAUUUUUUUGUAGAGAUGGAGGUCUUGCUAUGUCACCCAGGCUGGUCUUGAACACCUGGCCUCAAGUGAUCCUCUGGCUUCGGUCUCUCAAAGCUCUGGGAUUACAGACAUGAGCCACUGCACCCGGCUCUGUCUCCCCUUCCUAUGUGUGUUAGCUCUAGAACAAGAGAAGCCUUGUUGAGAUUCAUGGCUGCCCACCCCCCAUCACCUCUCUGACUUUGGGCAAGUUGCCUGGCCUCUCUCAGCCUUUAUUUUCUUUUUGUGAAAUGGGAAUAAUAAUAGUACUUGCCUCACAGGCAAAAUGUUGUGAGAACUAAACGAGAAAAUGCACAUAAAGCACUUGGCACUUAGUUCUUUUUAUGAUUAUAAUGAUAAUCAGACACAAUAAAUUAUUUCUCACAUCACAUGC